CCAACUGAUGCUGAGGUAGAAAUUGAAUGUCGGCGCCCCCUAAUCCUCCUCUGCGGACUCUUGCGAGGAUGUCUCUUCAGUCUCCUGCAACACACGGAAGGCAGGUUGUCUGUCAUGUAAACAGCCUCGAAAACCACCCUUGAAGUUUCUGUGAAAACAUUCAACAUCUUGGAAGGGGUGAGCGCCACAGGACAACGGGGUUUCCCAGGAUUCCCUCGCCCCUGCGCCACACCACACGUGGAAGAUCCCCACAGGAUGAAGAUGCUGGCCUUCUCUACGGAUGCUGUACAGGGUAUCUGACAUGAAGCCCUCUGUGAAUGAGUCAUUUGACAGCCCCACCACCACCACCACCACCACCACCACCACCACCACCACCACAAAGGAGUCAAGACCCACUAAGCCAGAGGACGAAAACAAACAAGCAAGCAAGCAACACUAACACACUCUUCCUUCAUGCUGAGCAAAUUUCCCUGUCAGGCAUUACCUGCUUUACCUUACGGUGAGAUGGCUCUCCUGGCUCGUCUGAGCUAUCCCUGGAAACUGCUGAGUGCAUUCACUUGGUCACGGACUGAAG
rnacentral:lncRNA from 1 species